AUCAAAUAUUUUAUUGGAGUAUUGGCCUCCUUGUCUCGAUUCACUGCGCCACUCGCUUGCAGCUUCUCCAUCUCCAUAGUCAUUGUAGAUACCUCAGAGCAACCGAAGGAAUACAAAAAAGGUUAAUCGAAGGUCAUCUCCAAAAUUUUGAUGGAGGAUCUUCCUGAAUCCUUGCUUCUGGAUAUUCUGAAACGAAUAGAUCGAACCGCGGAUAGGAAUUCCCUUUCUUUAGUUUGCAAACGACUGCAUAGGGUUGAGGGGGAGCAAAGGGAUUUCUUACGUGUUGGAUGCAGGAUGCACCCUGCGAUUGAAGCAUUUACUGCAUUAUGUAGUCGGUUUUCAAAUUUAUCGAAGCUAGAGAUUGUCUAUUCUGGUUGGAAGUCGUCUUUGGGUAAGCAGCUGGGGAAUGAAGGCCUGCAGGUUUUGUCUUCUAACUGUCCUUCGCUUGAAGAACUGUCCCUAAAUUUCUGCUCUUUCAUCGAUGAUACUGGCCUUCGGUAUUUAUCUUCUUGCCGAAAAUUGUUGUCUCUCAAGCUAAAUUUUGUUCCGGCUAUCAGCUCUAUUGGGAUCCUAUCUGUGAUACUUGGCUGCAAGAACAUAUCUACCCUUCACCUUAUUCGCUGCAUGAAAGUGAGCAGCACUGAGUGGCUUGAGCUCUUGGGGAAGUUAAGUAAUCUAAGGGAACUUUCCAUCAAGAACUGCAGGCGUAUAAGGGAGGAUGAUCUCAUAAAGCUGGGUCCUGGGUGGAGGAAGCUCAGGAGAUUGGAUUUUGCUGUGGAUGGAUACCCUAAAGUUCAUGACCAUUUAUUGCUCAGUGAGUGCCAUAAGGAAGUUGUUUACUGUGACGAGCUAAAGGAAUUAAGUUUGACAAACUGCAUAGUCGCUCCAGGGCAAGGGCUUUCAUUUAUACUAGGAAGAUGUGUUGCCUUAGAAAAGCUUCUGUUGGACAUGUGCCUUGGGGUAACGCACAGCCAUAUUGUUGCGCUAUCUCGAAAGUCAAGCAACCUUCGUAUCUUAGCAAUGCGCAUCCCUUUGGAGUUUCCUGUGAAUCUUUUUGACAAUAGCCUGUGGGAAUUACAGGAGGACAGUCUGAGGGCAUUAGCAGCUGGGUGUCCAAUGCUUAAUACGCUUGAGCUGUCUUAUUCUGAUUGGGAUUUUCCACCUACGUUAUGCUUCACCCAGGAUGCUGUUAUUGCUCUGAUUCAGAGCUGCCCCAUUCGUGUGUUGAAUCUUUGUGGUUGUGGCUUCCUCAAUGACAUAGGCAUGAAGGCACUUUGUGCAGCACAAAGCUUGCAGGUACUAGAGCUUACAAAAUGCCAGAAAAUUAGCGAUGAAGGAUUGGAACAUAUUAUAAAGUCACCGAGCCUAAAAACUAUAAAGCUUUGCAAGUGUUUGGGAGUUACUGAUACUGGCAUGAAGCCACUUGUGGACUCACAUAAGCUAGAUUUGCUAACAGUUGAAGGGUGCCCCCAUAUUUCUGAGGAAGGUAUAAAAGGGGCAGCAAGAUCUAUCUCAUACAAGAAAGAUUUGUCAUGGAUGUACUAGAUCUAAGCUAUAGAUUAUUUAUUCCUAAAGCUCUGGACUUAUUCUCCAUAAAGUUGAUAGAAGUAGCAUGGGCGAUGUGACUUUAAUUUGAAACUUCAGGUUGGCGGGAGGUCUCAAAGAGUCGCUAGAGAAGUUCCUCGCUGCUGUCACGGAUGAGCUCACUUCACGAGAGGAGUUCUGAAAGAAUCGCUAACAUAUAUUAUUCGUUUUUGUCGGAUCGAAAGCCAUGGGACGGCUCGGGCUUUGCUUUUUGGUUAUUCUUUGGCUUUGCGUUAAGGCAAGGUUUGAAAUAGUCUUUAAUGGAGCUUCUUCUCCUUUUUUCGUUUUUCUUCGAUCAUCCAUGAACGAGCUUUGGAUGGUCUCUAUGAAGGAAACGAUCUUUCAGCCCUUGCGCAAGGUUCUUCGGCUAAAUACCCUAGGUGGCUAGCUUCUUUUUUAUGAAUCCUAAUAU